UACGGAGGGUGCGAGCGUUGUUCGGAUUUACUGGGCGUAAAGGGCGCGUAGGCGGCAAUUCAAGUCACUUGUGAAAUCUCUGAGCUUAACUCAGAACGGUCAAGUGAUACUGCUUUGCUAGAGUACAGAAGGGGCAAUCGGAAUUCUUGGUGUAGCGGUGAAAUGCGUAGAUAUCAAGAGGAACACCUGAGGUGAAGACGGGUUGCUGGGCUGAUACUGACGCUGAGGCGCGAAAGCUAGGGUAGCAAACGGG
rnacentral:rRNA from 1 species